CCUACGGGAGGCAGCAGUGAGGAAUAUUGGUCAAUGGGCGCAAGCCUGACCCAGCAACGCCGCGUGAAGGAAGAAGGCUUUCGGGGUGUAAACUUCUUUUCGCAGGGACGAAGAAAGUGACGGUACCUGAGGAAUAAGCCACGGCUAACUACGUGCCAGCAGCCGCGGUAAUACGUAGGUGGCAAGCGUUAUCCGGAUUUAUUGGGUGUAAAGGGCGUGUAGGCGGGAGCGCAAGUCAGAUGUGAAAACGCAGGGCUCAACCCUGAGCCUGCAUUUGAAACUGUGUUGCUUGAGUGCUGGAGAGGCAGGCGGAAUUCCGGGUGUAGCGGUGAAAUGCGUAGAUAUACGGAGGAACACCAGUGGCGAAGGCGGAUUGCUGGACUGUAACUGACGCUGAGGCGCGAAAGCGUGGGGAGCAAACAGGAUUAGAUACCCGGGUAGUC
rnacentral:rRNA from 1 species